GCUGAUGUAGCUCAGUGGUAGAGCACUUCCUUGGUAAGGAAGAGGUCAUGAGUCCAACCCUCAUCAUCAGCUCCA
rnacentral:tRNA from 1 species